UACGUAGGGGGCAAGCGUUGUUCGGAAUUACUGGGCGUAAAGGGCGCGUAGGCGGCACGGCAAGUCAGGAGUGAAAGCCCUGGGCUCAACCCGGGAACUGCUUUUGAAACUGCCGAGCUAGAGUGCGGAAGGGGCAACUGGAAUUCCCAGUGUAGCGGUGAAAUGCGUAGAUAUUGGGAAGAACACCUGAGGCGAAGGCGGGUUGCUGGGCCGACACUGACGCUGAGGCGCGAAAGCCAGGGGAGCGAACGAG
rnacentral:rRNA from 1 species